rnacentral:tRNA from 1 species
AAGGGGAUAGCUCAGUGGUAGAGUGUCUGCUUAGCAUGCACAAGGUCCUGGGUUCAAUCCCCAGUACCUUCA